UGGGGCUACACACGUCAUACGAAUGGCCGGUACAGAGGGUAGCCAACCGCGAGGGGAGCCAAUACCCGCAAAGCCGGUCGUAGUCCGGAUCGCAGUCUGCAACUCGACUGCGUGAAGUCGGAAUCGCUAGUAAUCGCGGAUCAGCAUGUCGCGGUGAAUACGUUCCCGGGUCUU
rnacentral:rRNA from 1 species